UUGCAAAUAUCAAUGACUCAUAAAAAACCGAAAAAAAGUUUGAAAUCCCGCGCGCGCCUUCGUACCCUCUCUCCUAAUACGAAAAUAGGACUUUUUCUCUCAUAUUCUCUCUUUCUCUCGCCGUCUUGGGUCUCAUUUGCCCUAAUCGGAAAAAUUCGAAGGUAGGCUUCUCUUCCUCCCUAUUCGAACGAAGACACGCAGCAGCGGAUUAGAGCGGCAGAAAUAACCCCAUCCGUCUUCUCCUCUUCUCUCCGAUCUCCCUCUCUCUUCCUCUUCCUUCUUUCUUCUUCCCCCAUUCCCUCUCUUUUUGUCACACUCAACGCCGUUCCUGACCGCGCCUAGGAGUCUCUCCCUCCGCUGCAACCAGCGGCGAGUCUAAACCCAAUUGGCGACAACUGAAUCCCGCCUUUUUUCCUCUUUCCCUCCCACCCACUAAAUCAACCUAUCUUCCUCUUUCACUCUUUCUUUCUAUUGCCUUUCGUUUUGGAACUCUUUCCUCUCUAUUAAUCAACCCUGCAGGCCUACCAGUUAAAGUUCUACAUUGCCCUGUUCCACUCUAAACACUCAUUCUCUUCCUGCGAUGUCUCUCUCACAGUCGACGUCGACCUCUCACCACCGGACGACAUCAACGAACACCGGCAUCAAAUAGGCACCCCAUUUGAUUCUUCAAAAUGGGGUCGAGUAUGUGGAUUUCUCAUAACAGAGGGUGUUUGGACAAAAAUCGAAAGGUUGAGUGUGUAGAAGCUUCAAAAGACGAUCUACUAGUGGUAGAAAUUGCAUUUUCUAGGUUCUCUACUGUUUGCAUCCUUUCCAUUUUUGUUCUCCCAGAAUAUUAAAAGAUCCUUGCUUUAUUGGUGUUUUUUCUUGGCAACUGCUUUUACUUGAAGAUAUGUCUAAUUUCUGAGAAUAUCAUGUAUAUAGGUUCUAUUCAUGUAAUUAACUCCACCACUAUGAAAUUUUUAAAUCUCUCAUCAAAUAUACUCUCAAGCUCAUUGCCUUCUACUCUUGYAAAUGCKUGAUGGUGGACUUGAGCAAAAACAAUUUUUCUGGUGAUAUUUUUGUCAUGCAAGGUUGGGGAGACAUUGUGGAGGUUAUCAAUUUGAGUUCAAAUGCAUUAUCUGGAAGCUUUCCAAAUCUGACAAAUCAAUUUCAGAGAUUGAUUUCUAUUAUGAUUUCAAAUAAUUCUAUAUCGAAAUAAGUUUAGAGGAACAAUCACUUUUCAAGGCUCACGGACAUCCAAGUUAUUGGUUCAACCUUCUUAUUCAUAGAUGGAAUCAUUUGAUCUCUCUUGUAACUUAUUGAUAGGUUCAUUGCCUUCUGAAAUAGGUAACAUGGAGAGGCUUACGUUGCUAAAUCUGUCAAGGAACACUUUAUUAGUAGAGAUACCAAGUGCGAUGAACAAGCUUAGUGGCUUAGAGUACCUUGACUUGUCCGAGAACAAUUUUAAGGGUAAGAUCCCUGGUGGGCCCAGGGAACAAGAGAGGCUGGUUCUUGCAUAUUGCAUCCAUGGAGAUGGCUUGGCUCUACAUUGUGAACUAUUUUUGCUUGGAGUUUGCAAUUAUAUUGCUAUAUAUUUGGUAUCCUUCAUACAUAUCUAUUUAUUAGUAGUUGCUCCUUUUCUUGAACCAUGUGUAUUAAGGAUUAACUUUUCUAUUUUCUUUAUGGAUAAUAACUGAAUACAUGAGUUAAUAAGGCAAAAGCCCAAAAAGAACACAAAUUUUGCUUAUACCAAGCUGGGGUAAAAUGAAAUUCCAGAAAAAUCUUGUU